rnacentral:rRNA from 1 species
UACAGAGGUCCCAAGCGUUGUUCGGAUUCACUGGGCGUAAAGGGUGCGUAGGCGGUUGGGUAGGUCUGAUGUGAAAUCUCACAGCUUAACUGUGAAACUGCAUUGGAUACUAUUCGGCUUAGAGUUGGAGGGGGGACUGGAAUUCUUGGUGUAGCAGUGAAAUGCGUAGAUAUCAAGAGGAACACCAGUGGCGAAGGCGAGUCCCUGGACAACUUCUGACGCUGAGGCACGAAAGCUAGGGGAGCAAACAGG